rnacentral:rRNA from 1 species
ACGAACGCUGGCGGCGUGCCUAACACAUGCAAGUCGAGCGGAGACAUUAAGGAGCUUGCUCCGAGAUGUUUUAGCGGCGGACGGGUGAGUAACGCGUGAGCAAUCUGUCCCAUACAGGGGGAUAACACUUGGAAACAGCUGCUAAUACCGCAUGAGACCACAACGUCACAUGACGAAGGGGUCAAAGGAGCAAUCCGGUAUGGGGUGAGCUCGCGUCCCAUUAGGUAGUUGGUGAGGUAACGGCCCACCAAGCCGACGAUGGGUAGCCGACCUGAGAGGGUGAUCGGCCACACUGGAACUGAGACACGGUCCAGACUCCUACGGGAGGCAGCAGUGGGGAAUAUUGGGCAAUGGGCGAAAGCCUGACCCAGCAACGCCGCGUGAGGGAAGAAGGUUUUCGGAUUGUAAACCUCUGUCUUCGGGGACGAAACGAGACGGUACCCGAGGAGGAAGCCACGGCUAACUACGUGCCAGCAGCCGCGGUAAUACGUAGGUGGCAAGCGUUGUCCGGAAUUACUGGGUGUAAAGGGAGCGUAGGCGGGCAGGCAAGUCAGGCGUGAAAUAUAUCGGCUCAACCGGUAUCUGCGCUUGAAACUGCAGGUCUUGAGUGAAGUAGAGGUUGGCGGAAUUCCUAGUGUAGCGGUGAAAUGCGUAGAUAUUAGGAGGAACACCAGUGGCGAAGGCGGCUUUCUGGACUGUUACUGACACUGAGGCACGAAAGUGUGGGGAGCAAACAGGAUUA